GACGAACGCUGGCGGCGUGCUUAACACAUGCAAGUCGAACGGAAAGGCCCUGCUUUUGUGGGGUGCUCGAGUGGCGAACGGGUGAGUAACACGUGAGUAACCUGCCCUUGACUUUGGGAUAACUUCAGGAAACUGGGGCUAAUACCGGAUAGGAGCUCCUGCUGCAUGGUGGGGGUUGGAAAGUUUCGGCGGUUGGGGAUGGACUCGCGGCUUAUCAGCUUGUUGGUGGGGUAGUGGCUUACCAAGGCUUUGACGGGUAGCCGGCCUGAGAGGGGGACCGGCCACAUUGGGACUGAGAUACGGCCCAGACUCCUACGGGAGGCAGCAGUGGGGAAUAUUGCACAAUGGGCGGAAGCCUGAUGCAGCAACGCCGCGUGCGGGAUGACGGCCUUCGGGUUGUAAACCGCUUUCGCCUGUGACGAAGCGUGAGUGACGGUAAUGAGUAAAGAAGCACCGGCUAACUACGUG
rnacentral:rRNA from 1 species